UAGGGAAUCUUCCACAAUGGGCGCAAGCCUGAUGGAGCAACGCCGCGUGAGUGAAGAAGGGUUUCGGCUCGUAAAGCUCUGCUGUUAAAGAAGAACACGUAUGAGAGUAACUGUUCAUACGUUGACGGUAUUUAACCAGAAAGUCACGGCUAACUACGUGCCAG
rnacentral:rRNA from 1 species